rnacentral:rRNA from 1 species
UGGGGAAUAUUGGACAAUGGGCGAAAGCCUGAUCCAGCAACGCCGCGUGAGGGAUGACGGCCUACGGGUUGUAAACCUCUUUCAGCGGGGACGAAGCGCAAGUGACGGUACCCGCAGAAGAAGCACCGGCCAACUACGUGCCAGCAGCCGCGGUAAUACGUAGGGUGCGAGCGUUGUCCGGAAUUAUUGGGCGUAAAGGGCUCGUAGGCGGUUUGUCACGUCGGGAGUGAAAACUCGGGGCUUAACCCCGAGCCUGCUUCCGAUACGGGCUGACUAGAGGUAUGCAGGGGAGAACGGAAUUCCUGGUGUAGCGGUGAAAUGCGCAGAUAUCAGGAGGAACACCGGUGGCGAAGGCGGUUCUCUGGGCAUUACCUGACGCUGAGGAGCGAAAGUGUGGGGAGCGAACAGGAUUAGAUACCCUGGUAGUCCACACCGUAAACGUUGGGCGCUAGGUGUGGGACUCAUUCCACGAGUUCCGUGCCGCAGCUAACGCAUUAAGCGCCCCGCCUGGGGAGUACGGCCGCAAGGCUAA